UACGGAGGGUGCAAGCGUUAUCCGGAGUCACUGGGUUUAAAGGGUGUGUAGGCGGGCUGUUAAGUCAGUGGUGAAAUCUCCGGGCUCAACCCGGAAACUGCCAUUGAUACUAUCAGUCUUGAAUUCUGUUGAGGUGGGCGGAAUAUGUCAUGUAGCGGUGAAAUGCAUAGAUAUGACAUAGAACACCAAUUGCGAAGGCAGCUCACUAAGCAGCGAUUGACGCUGAGGCACGAAAGCGUGGGGAUCAAACAGG
rnacentral:rRNA from 1 species